rnacentral:rRNA from 1 species
AUACGUAGGUGGCAAGCGUUGUCCGGAAUUAUUGGGCGUAAAGCGCGCGCAGGCGGUCCUUUAAGUCUGAUGUGAAAGCCCACGGCUCAACCGUGGAGGGUCAUUGGAAACUGGGGGACUUGAGUGCAGAAGAGGAAAGUGGAAUUCCAAGUGUAGCGGUGAAAUGCGUAGAGAUUUGGAGGAACACCAGUGGCGAAGGCGCCUUUCUGGUCUGUAACUGACGCUGAGGCGCGAAAGCGUGGGGAGCAAACAGGAUUAGAUACCCUGGUAGUCCACGCCGUAAGCGAUGAGUGCUAAGUGUUGGGGGGUUUCCGCCCCUCAGUGCUGCAGCUAACGCAUUAAGCACUCCGCCUGGGGAGUACGGUCGCAAGACUGAAACUCAAAUGAAUUGACGGGG